rnacentral:rRNA from 1 species
ACGGAGGGUGCAAGCGUUAUCCGGAUUCACUGGGUUUAAAGGGUGCGUAGGUGGGCUAGUAAGUCCGUGGUGAAAUCCCCGAGCUUAACUUGGGAACUGCCAUUGAUACUAUUAGUCUUGAAUAUCGUGGAGGUAAGCGGAAUAUGUCAUGUAGCGGUGAAAUGCUUAGAUAUGACAUAGAACACCAAUUGCGAAGGCAGCUUGCUACACGGUCAUUGACACUGAGGCACGAAAGCGUGGGGAGCAAACAG